CCUAGACGCGGUCGCCGUGGUAACCAGUAGCCGCUUCCAAGGAGUUUACUAGCUGUAGUGCCUGGCUGUGGGAAAAGGGGUCCUUCGCCUCGCCUGAUAUAUGUGGUUUUGGGAGGAGAUUUCUGCUGCUCUACUCAUGCCACCAUCUUGGCUCCGCCUCCAUUUCUCACUAUCUUAGAAAGCAGUGAACAUGGAUUGAGUUUGUGCAAGGCAAAGCACUAAGCAAGAGAGACAAAGAG